AGCUUUCCGAAUCCGUGCUAAGAUUUCAUCAGACACCAACCCAUUAUAGCUAAUCAUACUUCCAAAAUAAGUAAAGUU
rnacentral:pre_miRNA from 1 species